rnacentral:rRNA from 1 species
AGCAGCCGCGGUAAUUCCAGCUCCAAUAGCGUAUAUUAAAGUUGUUGCAGUUAAAAAGCUCGUAGUUGAACUUCGGGAUUUAUUCAUUGGUCAGGCUUAACUGUCUGUACUGGUGUGAUGAAUUCCUACCUUCUGAGGAAUCUCCAUGCCAUUCACUUGGUGUGGUGGGGAAUCAGGACUGUUACUUUGAAAAAAUUAGAGUGUUUAAAGCAGGCUAACGUCUGAAUACAUUAGCAUGGAAUAAUGAAAUAGGACGGCUUGGUUCUAUUUUGUUGGUUUCUAGGAUCACCGUAAUGAUUAAUAGGGAUAGUUGGGGGCAUUAGUAUUCAAUUGUCAGAGGUGAAAUUCUUGGAUUUAUUGAAGACUAACUACUGCGAAAGCAUUUGCCAAGGAUGUUUUCAUUAACCAAGAACGAAAGUUAGGGGAUCGAAGACGAUCAGAUACCGUCGUAGUCUUAACCAUAAACUAUGCCGACUAGGGAUCGGACGAAGUUAAUUUUUAAAUGACUCGUUCGGCACCU